rnacentral:rRNA from 1 species
AACGAACGCUGGCGGCAGGCCUAACACAUGCAAGUCGAACGCACCGCAAGGUGAGUGGCGCACGGGUGAGUAACACGUGGGAAUGUAUCCUUUGGUUCGGAAUAACGUCUGGAAACGGACGCUAAUACUGGAUGAGCCCUUAGGGGGAAAGAUUUAUCGCCGAAGGAGCAGCCCGCGUCUGAUUAGGUAGUUGGUGGGGUAAAGGCCUACCAAGCCGACGAUCAGUAGCUGGUCUGAGAGGAUGAUCAGCCACACUGGGACUGAGACACGGCCGAGACUCCUACGGGAGGCAGCAGUGGGGAAUAUUGGACAAUGGGCGCAAGCCUGAUCCAGCCAUGCCGCGUGAGUGAUGAAGGCCUUCGGGUUGUAAAGCUCUUUCGCACACGACGAUGAUGACGGUAGUGUGAGAAGAAGCCCCGGCUAACUUCGUGCCAGCAGCCGCCGUAACAC